UUCGAGUCGUUGAUUUCACACUGCCGAGAAAAGCCUCUAGAUAGAAAAUAGGUGCCCGUACCGCAAACCGACACAGGUAGUCAAGAUGAGAAUUCUAAGGUGAGCGAGCGAACUCUCGUUAAGGAACUCGGCAAAAUGACCCCGUAACUUCGGGAGAAGGGGUGCUCUUUAGGGUUAACGCCCAGAAGAGCCGCAGUGAAUAGGCCCAAGCGACUGUUUAUCAAAAACACAGGUCUCUGCUAAACCGUAAGGUGAUGUAUAGGGGCUGACGCCUGCCCGGUGCUGGAAGGUUAAGAGGAGUGGUUAGCUUCUGCGAAGCUACGAAUCGAAGCCCCAGUAAACGGCGGCCGUAACUAUAACGGUCCUAAGGUAGCGAAAUUCCUUGUCGGGUAAGUUCCGACCCGCACGAAAGGCGUAACGAUUUGGGCACUGUCUCAACGAGAGACUCGGUGAAAUCAUAGUACCUGUGAAGAUGCAGGUUACCCGCGACAGGACGGAAAGACCCCGUGGAGCUUUACUGUAGCCUGAUAUUGAAAUUCGGCACAGCUUGUACAGGAUAGGUAGGAGCCUUUGAAACGUGAGCGCUAGCUUACGUGGAGGCGCUGGUGGGAUACUACCCUAGCUGUGUUGGCUUUCUAACCCGCACCACUUAUCGUGGUGGGAGACAGUGUCAGGCGGGCAGUUUGACUGGGGCGGUCGCCUCCUAAAAGGUAACGGAGGCGCUCAAAGGUUCCCUCAGAAUGGUUGGAAAUCAUUCAUAGAGUGUAAAGGCAUAAGGGAGCUUGACUGCGAGACCUACAAGUCGAGCAGGGUCGAAAGACGGACUUAGUGAUCCGGUGGUUCCGCAUGGAAGGGCCAUCGCUCAACGGAUAAAAGCUACCCCGGGGAUAACAGGCUUAUCUCCCCCAAGAGUUCACAUCGACGGGGAGGUUUGGCACCUCGAUGUCGGCUCAUCGCAUCCUGGGGCUGUAGUCGGUCCCAAGGGUUGGGCUGUUCGCCCAUUAAAGCGGUACGCGAGCUGGGUUCAGAACGUCGUGAGACAGUUCGGUCCCUAUCCGUCGUGGGCGUAGGAAAUUUGAGAGGAGCUGUCCUUAGUACGAGAGGACCGGGAUGGACAUACCUCUGGUGUACCAGUUGUCGUGCCAACGGCAUAGCUGGGUAGCUAUGUGUGGACGGGAUAAGUGCUGAAAGCAUCUAAGCAUGAAGCCCCCCUCAAGAUGAGAUUUCCCAACUUCGGUUAUAAGAUCCCUCAAAGAUGAUGAGGUUAAUAGGUUCGAGGUGGAAGCAUGGUGACAUGUGGAGCUGACGAAUACUAA
rnacentral:rRNA from 1 species